UGGGUUGUGGCUCAGUGGCAGAGCGCUUACCUCUCAUGGAUGAAGACCUGGGUUCCAUCCUCAGCACCACAU
rfam:Ictidomys tridecemlineatus contig088195, whole genome shotgun sequence.